UUUUAUUUAGUCUGAUUGUCAGACACUGUUUGUUUUGAAACAACUCUUCCUCUGUGCUAAGAUGAAGAGCCCAAAGUUUGUUGGCAUUGUUGUUUUAUUCGCCAUUAUAUCAGGUUGUAUCGCACAGUCUGAUUGGGUUUGGAUGGGAAUAGGGCACACGGACAUCCUGGCGUAUAAUGAGCGGUGCUGCCGAUUACAUAGGUCUCAGGCUAGUUCGGGAAUUGUAUGCUUACCAAAAGAGGCAUGCGCGCUUGUACAGAGUAACGUUUGAAGGAAGAAGACCUUUCGGCAUGAUUCACACGUGUACAGCGAUGGUGCAUGAGUUUGUUGUAUUCCGUCAAAAAGUGAUGUGGUAUAGAUGCUCGCCACCAGUUUAUUGAAAAUAUUGAAUAAACUUGAUAAAACCUUCUUUGUGUCAUUUUACAAAUGAUCAUAAUAAUAUCAUUUUAUUUCCUAUACAUUCACUUUAAUUUGUCAAUUCCAUAAAUUAUUCGAUUGUCCCGAUUUCUGUUUGCUUUAUUUUCAACUGUACGCUCCGUUUAACCAUUACACUUACUUAAAUAUGUUUACUCGAAAGUGUUUAUUUAAUUUCAAGAAAUAAUGUUUGACUGUCAGUCUCUGUUAUGGGGGCAAGGGACAUUAAAUUUAAAAAUUCCACAAAUCUGCGCUGAAACCAGUGCGAAAAAAAAAAUCGUAAAAAAAAUCCAAUUUUGAGAAAUUCCAAGCAAGUGUUAAGCGGAUGUAUUGCAUAUACUUAGCACUUCAUUAUGUGUUAUUUUCAGCCUGCCGAGAUCUGUUGUUUCUAUAAUAAAAAACGAGUAAAACUCAGGUUUCAGGACAUUAAAUUUUGAGGCAAAAAUGGCCCAAAAUGCACACCUUGCGCGACCUGUACCGUAUUAUUUGCAUAUGACUGACCUAAAACACAUGUAUAUUUUUAAAGCAUGUGAUCAGACGAAAAUAAUGGUGGGAAAAAAAGUGUCUCAUAACCGUUUACUUUUUCCGCAAGUUUGAGCUGAAUCUGAAUAAAGAUACGCUUGUUGAGCAUGUACAAUGGUACAGCUCGGAUUAUAAUGUCGAAAUGCCAAUCAAACUGUUAAUAUGUUUUUGAUUAUGUUCUUAUGUUAUCUUAAUAUCAUUUUAAAUAUAAAUAUACAGCGUUUGAGAACAAGCAGAAAAACUGAGUGAUUUUGCUACUACCAAUUUAAUGGCAGAUAUUAUUAUAUUGUGUAGAGCUAUUGAUAAAUAUAAAGAUAUUUAUUGUAAAAACAUGAUAUAGUUAGGACCUACUAGUUUUCUUAUAAUAUGGACUUGAUUUGUUGAACUGCCCUGUAGAAAACCAUUUGUUACUGUUGGAAUAACUUAUGUGACCUGAAUAACACAGUGGCAAGGAAUUAGGUUACACACAUGCUGUAAACGUCCUUGAAAUUUCACAACGAUUAAAGGCUUAUCUUCAAUAUCAA
rnacentral:misc_RNA from 1 species